rnacentral:rRNA from 1 species
CCUACGGGUGGCAGCAGUGAGGAAUAUUGGUCAAUGGACGAGAGCCUGAACCAGCCAAGUAGCGUGAAGGAUGACUGCCCUAUGGGUUGUACACUUCUUUUAUAAAGGAAUAAAACGAGGCACGUGUGCCUUUUUGCAUGUACUUUAUGAAUAAGGCUCGGCUAACUCCGUGCCAGCAGCCGCGGUAAUACGGAGGAUCCGAGCGUUAUCCGGAUUUAUUGGGUUUAAAGGGAGCGUAGAUGGGUUGUUAAGUCAGUUGUGAAAGUUUGCGGCUCAACCGUAAAAUUGCAGUUGAUACUGGCAGUCGUGAGUACAGUUGAGGUAGGCGGAAUUCGUGGUGUAGCGGUGAAAUGCUUAGAGAUCACGAAGAACCCCGAUUGCGAAGGCAGCUUACUAAACUGUCACUGACAUUGAUGCUCGAAAGUGUGGGUAUCAAACAGGAUGAGAUACCCUAGUAGUC